UUUUUUUUUUUUUUACACGUUGUUGCCUAUUGCGCCGGUAGGCAUCUUCCCGGUGGGGCCUGAUGGUCGGCCCAAGGCUUCUUCCAGGUGGGGCCUGAUGGUCGGCCCAGCCCGUUCUGGCGCAGGCGAGUGUUUAUAGUGGCGCCAUCUUGCAUUGGCUCAUGCUGCCCCCCGGAGCUCGUUCUUGAUUCGCUUGGACGGCUUCCUCUAGAGUCCGGGUUGAUGGGUGGUCUUCAGGACAGCAUGUGGGUAGUUUUAAGCCACUCGGCGGUGACUGAAAAAUCCGAGUGGUAGCGUGGGGAUUCGAACCCGCGUCGUCCAUCACGCGGUGAAUGUGGGCCCAGUACGCUACCAUUUCGGCCACCGCCUACCCGACAUUGUCAUUACAUUAUGAGGUUAACUUAAGUAACUAUUUAAUUCAGCCUUUUAUAUGAUAUAUCCUCAGUACUUACUUGUUACAAGUAUUUCCAAUACCAUAAACCUUCCUGGAGCCAAGCCACAAGCCCAAACAUGACCCAAACGUCUGUUGUUUAUUGUGCAGCUGGUGGCGGCGGGAGCCAUUCCGCUCUUGAUCAUGAUGGUACAGGUGACUUAUUUCCAUAUACCAGUAAGCCAGUAGUAGUAGCAAGUAGUGAUGACUCUACAGAUGAAUCCAACAGUGAUUAGUUCUUGGGGUUUGACAAUGAAUAAAAUUUCUUUGACUUUCAUAUUUUUACGUACAUAUUUUAAUUUUUUUUUAAUUCACUUUUAUGGAAAUAAAACCACCCAUGGACAAUGAAAGAUGUAUAGUAUAUUUACUAACCACCAACUAGUAUGUCAUCGCCAUACGGACAAAAUCGGACGAGUGAUGAAUGUAAACAAACCAAUAGCCUACAUGCCGCCAUGUUUAUGUCGGGGACUCACAGUUUCAGUGUGUGGGUAUUUACCAACAGUAGUUGAAAUUGCAAACUUGUGGUGAGUGCUGAGACAAUAGAUAGUUUUAAGAAAAGGUUACAUAAAUUCAUGGAUAUGGUGAAGCUGUUCUUGUGUGAGAAUGACUUAAUUUUUUUCUUUUUCUCAAAAUUUCUCUCCAAUAUUAGGGUGCGUCUUCCAAGAUGCAGCGUCUUGUAAACCGUAAAAUACGGUAUAUAUUUUUCAUAUUUCCAUUUUUCUUCUCUUCUAAUCUUUGUAUAUUCAUUCCUUGCUUGUUUGAAAUUGUUCCAUGCGUUGAUUCUUCUUAGUCUCCUCCAUCCCUUCCAAGCUUCCUCCUUUCUUUUUCUAGCUGCCUCGCAUCUUUUGUUAAACCAUUCCUUUUUACCAACAUCCUUUUUGGUUCCUUAGGGACAUAUCUAUUCUCAGCUUCUUUGUACAGCUUUAAAAACUCCUCCCACUUGUUUUGGGUACUUUUGGCUUUGUACAGCCCACUCCAAUUUGCUUUUUCAAAAAAAGUUCUCAUAUUAACAAAGUCUGCCUUAGAGUAGUUACUUCUCCCUAUGUUGUGAUCCUCUUUUCAGUGUGUGUGUGUGUGUGUGUGUGUGUGUGUGUGUGUGUGUGUGUGUGUGUGUGUGAAGCCCCUUACUCAGGCAUUUAUAGUUUUAUAUAAGGAAGCCGCUAUCUCCUCAUGUGUGGGUUUGUGUCUGUUUGUUGUUUCUCUUCGUCUCUGAAACGCCGCACAUACUCGUCUCAAAGUUAGUUUCAUGCAAGAGUCGACCCCCAAGGCUGUGCUGUAUUCCAUGUAGAUAUUGUACCCCCAAGAGCAGUAGCGGUAGUGGGUCCAAAUGUAUUACUGUUAUUAUUAUUGUAAGUAGUGAUUGUAGUAGUAGUAGUAGUAGUAGUAGUAGUGGUAGUGAGCCCCUAGAAUAGUAUACAUCAUCCCUGUUAAGGUCGGCCUUCCUGAAGCGUUUUCAAGCCUUCAGCCUUGGCACGAGUAUUUGCGACAAGUUCUCUAAUUAUUGUUCUAUGUAUUUUGUGUUGUUCCCCGGCCUGUUACGGAGACUCGGUUGUCCCGCGUCAGUACCGUUGUGUUGGCCUUGUUAUGAUGGCUUGCAGCAGUUAAUAAAGAGUUCCAUGACUUGU